rnacentral:rRNA from 1 species
GACGAACCGUGCAAACGUUAUUCGGAAUCACUGGGCUUAAAGGGCGCGUAGGCGGGUCGGAUAGUCUGCGGUGAAAUCCUCCAGCUUAACUGGAGAACUGCCGUGGAUACUCCCGACCUCGAGGAGGGUAGGGGCAUCUGGAACAGCCGGUGGAGCGGUGAAAUGCGUUGAUAUCGGCUGGAACUCCGGUGGCGAAGGCGAGAUGCUGGACCCUUUCUGACGCUGAGGCGCGAAAGCCAGGGGAGCGAACGGG